rnacentral:lncRNA from 1 species
GCCGCCGGCGCGGCCGUCGCGCUCGAGCGAUCCCGAGCGGUGGAAAGGGUUUGUUUUUUUUCUAUUAUUAUUAUGCCCUUAGAUCGAGGAUGCAGCGUUUGUGCGUUCGUUGAUUGAAUUGCAAUUCGAUGCGAUUGGGGCAAUUGAGCAGGUGUAUAAAAAGAUGCAUUUCUUGAUCACAUUGUUGUUUUUUUUUCACGAGUCUCAAGCUUAAGCACUGGUUAUCAUCUUGAAUCACCCAAUAGGCUAAUAAGCGCUGUUCUAGGUAAUUUUUAUGCAUAGUAUCUGAUUAGCUGACUUGACUGAUCGGGGUCGGGCAAUAAUUCUUGAAGGCAUUACUAUUACCUCUAAAGAUUUACCGCAUGAUUCAGCCUUUGAAAUACUGUGAUUUAUAUGCGC